AUACUUACCUGGCAGGGGAGAUACCAUGAUCAUGAAGGUGGUUUUCCCGGGGCGAGGCUUAUCCAUUGCACUCCGAAUAUGCUGACCCCUGUGAUUUCCCCAGAUGUGGAAAACUUGACUGCAUGAUUUGUGGUAGUGGGGGGCUAUGUUUGCACUAUCCCCUG
rnacentral:snRNA from 1 species